UUUUGGGCUUUUGUGGCUGUAGAGCACAUGAUAACUCCACAGUUAAGCGUGCUCGGGUGGGAGAAAUACUAGGAUGGGUGACCUCUGGGAAGUCUCCAUCAGGGCAAUAA
rnacentral:rRNA from 1 species